rnacentral:tRNA from 1 species
GGUGAGAUGGCUCAGUGGGUAAGAGCACCCGACUGUUCUUCCGAAGGUCCAGAGUUCAAGUCCCAGCAACCA